CUUGAGAGAUCUGUUCCUCCAGUUCCCUCCUUUAUCCUGUGUGGCUGGCUCCAGUCCCUGAGAGAAAAUAACUGAGACACUCACAUAGGACACCGCAAAAAGGCAAAAGGACGCCAAGUAAACAGAAAUAACCAACUAAGGAGGCACUUCUAAAGUCCACACUGGGAAAGAAAACAGACCCCAAUCCCCAAGUCUGUGGACAAACACAAGUUUUCAUGUGAGCAGAGUCCAGAAUCCAAGGCUGUGAUGGAGUCUGCAUGAAAACAAGAACGAUGUGGCUUGGGGACGUUUCCCAUUGGGUUGGACUACAUUAGUGAUACUGUCCUGUGGCUUUGAUAAAAACUCCCUGUGGCGUCAUUAACAGAUGCAGGAGUGGGGGGAAUGGGAAUGCAGUGGUCUGAACACAGGCUCAAUAACGGUAGGCUAAUUUGAACGAAACCUUGGGCAGGUCACCUAGGUUCUCAAUGCGGGAAGGGGGAGGAGAGGCAUCACUGUGCUCCACUGUGAAAUAGGGAUUGAACUCUGUUGAAAUUAUGAACGCAUAUAAAUGUGGGCUGGAGGGCUGUGGGAGGCUAGCGCAGUGAAGGUGGCCAGGUGGAUUGCUAAUGACCUACAAAGCAAUCAAAGUAUCCAGAGUGGCCCUCUAAUCUUGACACUGGCUUUAACUCUUGUCAUAAUAGCAUCCCAUUAAUCAGCAUUCAAAUGCUGGUAUUCAAAACAAUACUUUUUAAGAAUAUUUAAGAAUACUUUUUAAAAGUUUCACCAAGAAGUUUAAAAUAUGCAUAGAAGUGACUAAGGAGUAACUAACAGUAUGCCAUUUCAGAUCAUAAAAGCAUAGAAUGGGAGAUGUGGGCCCAACACCCUCAGGGUAUAGUCAAGGGGAGGGAUCAGAAAACUACUAUAAGGAGAGGCAACACCACAGCAUUUCUACUACUAGAAAAGACUUAGUUUACAUGUUCUACUGAAGUAUUUAUUAAAUGUAUCUCCCGAGACUGGACCUUCUGGAAUUCCGUGAAUGUGUUAGAAAAUGUAAGGAAUCUGGGCAAUGGGUUUUUGUUGGCAAAGCCUGAAAUCCAAGCUUUCUAUAGAAUAUACAAGAAACUGAUAAAUAGCCCCAAAGAUCACAGCGUAGAAUUAAAAUUUAGGUUGUUCAACACAUUGACUGACCUAUGCUGAAAGCCAUUGCUUCAGAGCCUAUCAGAUUGUCUGAAUCAUCUGGAGAAUUUAAAAAUACCAAUUCCUGAACUUCAUCCCAGAUUCAUGUUUAGGAGUCUGAGGUGGGGCUCCUAAGUCUGUAAUUUAAAAAACUUCCAUGACUCCCAUGGCACAAUCUUGCCAUUUUGGGUACAUACAACAUAAAUGGUGCAUCUUAUAAGUGCUGGGAUUUUGGAUUUGAUGAAAUAUCCUUAGUAUGUGCCAGGUACUUCCAUAUACCUUAUUACAAAUAAUUUUCCCAAAUCUUUACAGAUCGUGACACUGAGGUUCAGAGAGACUAAAUGUGUCAGCAAGAGGGUGACCAAUAUUUAGAGCCCAGUCUUUCUGAACCCAAAUUAAAGACACUUUCCUCUCAUCUGCAAAUUCCUGACCCUCCCUGUGAACUUUGAACAUUCCUGAGCCAAGUUAUGUGACCACAAGUUUUCAGGGAAGAAAAAAAUAGGUGUUAUUAAACAAAUAAGCUCUUAGACUCUUUUAUAGGCUGAAUUGUAUCCCUCCAAAAUUCACGUGUUGAGGCCCUAACUCCCUGUACCUUGGAAUAUGACUAACUCGAAAGAGGGUCUUUAAAGAGAUGAUUAACUUAAAGCAGGGCUCUUAGUGUGGGGGAGAAUCUAAUCUAACUGGUGUCCUUAUAAUAAGGGGGAGAUGAGGACACAGAUAACACAGG